GGUAGGUGGCAAGCGUUGUCCGGGAAUUAUUGGGGCGUAAAGCGCGCGCAGGCGGUUCGUUUAAGUCUGAUGUGAAAGCCCACGGCUCAACCGUGGAGGGUCAUUGGAAACUGGAGAACUUGAGUACAGAAGAGGAAAGCGGAAUUCCACGUGUAGCGGUGAAAUGCGUAGAGAUGUGGAGGAACACCAGUGGCGAAGGCGGCUUUCUGGUCUGUAACUGACGCUGAGGCGCGAAAGCGUGGGGAGCAAACAGGAUUAGAUACCCUGGUAGUCCACGCCGUAAACGAUGAGUGCUAAGUGUAGGGGGUUUCCGCCCCUUAGUGCUGCAGCUAACGCAUUAAGCACUCCGCCUGGGGAGUACGGCCGCAAAGGCUG
rnacentral:rRNA from 1 species